rnacentral:rRNA from 1 species
AUAAACUGGAGGAAGGUGGGGAUGACGUCAAGUCAUCAUGGCCCUUACGACCAGGGCUACACACGUGCUACAAUGGCGCAUACAAAGAGAAGCGACCUCGCGAGAGCAAGCGGACCUCAUAAAGUGCGUCGUAGUCCGGAUUGGAGUCUGCAACUCGACUCCAUGAAGUCGGAAUCGCUAGUAAUCGUGGAUCAGAAUGCCACGGUGAAUACGUUCCCGGGCCUUGUACACACCGCCCGUCACACCAUGGGAGUGGGUUGCAAAAGAAGUAGGUAGCUUAACCUUCGGGAGGGCGCUUACCACUUUGUGAUUCAUGACUGGGGUGAAGUCGUAACAAGGUAACCGUAGGGGAACCUGCGGUUGGAUCACCUCCUU